rnacentral:rRNA from 1 species
GAUGAACGCUGGCGGCGUGCCUAAUACAUGCAAGUCGAGCGAACAGACGAGGAGCUUGCUCCUCUGACGUUAGCGGCGGACGGGUGAGUAACACGUGGAUAACCUACCUAUAAGACUGGGAUAACUUCGGGAAACCGGAGCUAAUACCGGAUAAUAUAUUGAACCGCAUGGUUCAAUAGUGAAAGACGGUUUUGCUGUCACUUAUAGAUGGAUCCGCGCCGCAUUAGCUAGUUGGUAAGGUAACGGCUUACCAAGGCGACGAUGCGUAGCCGACCUGAGAGGGUGAUCGGCCACACUGGAACUGAGACACGGUCCAGACUCCUACGGCAGGCAGCAGUAGGGAAUCUUCCGCAAUGGGCGAAAGCCUGACGGAGCAACGCCGCGUGAGUGAUGAAGGUCUUCGGAUCGUAAAACUCUGUUAUUAGGGAAGAACAAAUGUGUAAGUAACUAUGCACGUCUUGACGGUACCUAAUCAGAAAGCCACGGCUAACUACGUG